ACAGGAGUGAGCCACCGCGUCCAGUCGUAAGAAUCCGUUUUCUUUUGCAACAGGCCACAAUUGGAGAAACUUGUUGUUUUACCAAGUCUUUGACUGGAAGGGUAUGCUUCCCUUUAAGGAGUCAAGCUCAACUUGCAGAGCUGAUAUAAAGCCCCUUGGGGAAACUGGUCUCAUACACUUAUCUACACAGUCCCUGUGCAGAGUUUCUGACCUGUGGUCAGUAAAAAAUGUCACUUUCUAACAGGCCCAAGAGCUCCAAGCUUAUCUUGGAAACUUAAGAGGAGAGGAUCACUGAACUCACAGAUGAAUCCUACUUAUUCCUGUGAAGGAACCAGCAAUCUCUGGCUGCAGCUCAGAAAGAACAAAAGAGAUGGAUAAUGUAGAAAUCUGGGUCAAUAUUCUAGUUCUGAGCAAUUAUCACGCAAAUCCUGCCAGAUAAAGGGAAUAAGUAGGGUGUCUACAUGGAGGUUUCCUUUUUGGGAAAGUAAGACCAAGGGAACUAACCAAAGCCCAAGCACCAUGCAUCCAAAUCUUAGCAAACAUAACUAUAGCUACAAGUUAUCUGGGCUGGCAUGUCACAAGACAUUCUUUUCUCUCCCUUGUUGGAGGAGGACUAAAUUCCUCAGCUUCACCUUAACAUUUGGCUUAUGCUAAGUAGUCCAUGCAACCCCCAUCUGAGACACAUUUUUGUCCCAAACUCAAUUUUAAGCUUCAGGUCAUAGCCCUACUAAAGAAAACUGGAUCUCGGGGAUCCAGAGGCCAACUAUAAUGAAAGUUAAAAGGCACAGUGCUGGUGAGUAUGGCUGUUUCCUGCUCAUUAAGCCAAGCUUUCUGUUUCAUGGUUUCAUGAAUAAAGGUCAUGCUAGUAUCCUUGGCAUAAAAGAGGUCUAGGUAAUUCAAGGCUACUGACUGCAGGGAAGAUAGGGCAUACGUGGGUAAGAGUGGAUACUCCCACACCCAGGCCCUCCUGUUAACAUGGGUGAAAGCUGCUUUGACACCCAUGGGCACCCUGUUGCAGUUGCCCAGAGUGGGGAUACUAGGUGAGAGGAAAGAAGAAGGAAUGCCUGACUUUCCUUCCCUCAUGUGCCUUAGGUAUUUGCUAGCAAGAGAAAGGAACCAGGAUGCCUGUUCCCUUCUUUCUAAAUGAGUAUUCAUCUCCAGUCUGGACCCCUUUUGAAUGCAUCCUGAACCCCUGGACUCCUUUGAAAAAAAAAUUCCUUCUUUUUUCCUUUCUUCUCUUCUAUCUCCUCUUCACUGACAGGUAAUUGUGUUUCCAUACUAUAAGACACUCCUCUCAGAUGCAUCAUCCAAAAUGAGAAGAAUUAAUUUCCCAAACUUUAAACUGGUUGGCUUAGGAUUGGGCUCAGGGGAAGGGAACCCAGAAGCCCAACAUACCAGCAAAAGGAUUCUGUAACCCCCUCACGCUUCAAAGUGUCUGUGAGCCUCAUCUUUCCUGGUGGUGUGACAAGAACCAGGUUUUUAGCUGAACUAAAGAGAAAGUCCUGCAACAUAUUAAUUCAAUGAAAUGCGACUCAGUCACACCAAGGAAUA